rnacentral:rRNA from 1 species
UGCCAGCCGCCGCGGUAAUACGGAGGGUCCGAGCGUUAUCCGGAUUUAUUGGGUUUAAAGGGUGCGUAGGCGGUAGAUUAAGUCAGUGGUUAAAUCCUGCAGCUCAACUGUAGUUUGCCAUUGAAACUGCUCUACUUGAGAGUGGUUGAGGUAUGCGGAAUGUGUUGUGUAGCGGUGAAAUGCUUAGAUAUAACACAGAACACCGAUUGCGAAGGCAGCAUACUGGACCAUCUCUGACGCUGAGGCACGAAAGCGUGGGUAUCAAACAGGAUUAGAUA